UCAUGCCAUUUGCACUGAGCUGCUCAAAACCGCACACUCUGCUUUUUGUUGUCUUUAUUUCAGUUCUGUUUUUCUCACUCUGGCCAAUUUCUUUCUUUCUGCCUUUCUCUCUUCAAACCUUUUCUUCUUGUCAUGUCUAGCAAGAGAACCCAAUAUACAAGAGCCCCAUUAAUAAAUUCCAGAAUCCAAGUUAUGGAAAUAAGGGCGUCACACACUGAGGUGAGAACCCCAUUUACAAGAGUGCGGUGACAACGGUGGUCAACCCUAAAUAUGAGGGCAAGUAAUGGACGAAUGUGUCCAGCAACACUGAAUGCAGAACAAUUCAAGAGGAAUGGAAGAGUUGAAGUUCACUUCAUUUUCUUUUUUUGUGUUUUUUUUUUUUUUAAAUCACCUUUUGGCUGUGCAUUUGCCACUGUUCUGUUUAAUCUAUUAACCUGUGUUUCUAUGCAUUGUUUUGGAACUGUACAGUAUGUAUAAACUUGAGUUUUUAUUUUUUUUAUGCAAUCUUAGACAAUAAUUUCAAUGUUCAGUUUUGAUUUUUAGCCACAGAUCUGCCUUGUUUUUCCUGAAUGUUAAAACUGAUCUUGUUGGGUUAGAUGACGGGUUUUGUAGGUAAAAUGUGGUCAAGUAUGCAUUAAGAAUGUUAUCCAAAAAAGACAAGGCUCAAUUACCAGACCCACCUGCUUGAGUCCAGUAACUGGUUGAUCAUUAGAGUCAGUUUGUAUCUUAUGAUGGUACAGGAAACUUUCUGAACCUGUGGAUGGAGUGUCCUGUCACUGGUAUAGUAGGUAGCUGUAGCGGACCACUGCUGUUUGUACACAUGGUGCUUUUCAUGUAGAUGCUUAUGUCGUCUGCAGAAUUUUGGAUGAUUUGAGACCAUAUUAUAAUGUUUAGGUCUGUGGAUCUGUGUGCUCGCCUCGCCUUUCUUUGGUCUGCGAGUCAGGUGGUUUAGUGACCUUCUAUUGUGCACAUUGAUGAUUUUAAUCUAUCAAUCUAAAAUGGACAGAUUUAGUAUCUUUUUAAUUGCGUCACAGAAAAAAUGUACAACAUCUAUCAAGUGUUUGAUUUAAAUGCCUUUGACUUGGCAACAUCGGAGUUGUUUGAAAGAUGUUAGAGGGACAUUUUCAUCAUUGUCUGUGAAUGGAACAAUUAUUAUUAUUAUAAUUGAAAACAUAAGUGUGAAGUCAUAUGAAAAGAUCUUCAGGUUUUAGAUUUGUUUGAAGAAUGAGGAAAUGAAAACUCAGGUCCUGAAUUUCUCUCCAUCACUGAUGCCAAAUAUUUACGUCUACUGUGCAUGAACUAUUUUCCAGAUGUGGACUUCACAUUUGUUUUUCUCUUUUAAUUGGUCCCGUUGUAACAUCUUUGUUCAUAAAUGAGACUAACUGCUCAGAUUAUUGUUGGUAAAGAUCAGUGUUAAAGAAAGAUUACUUCUUCUUUUUUUUUCUUUUUUUUUAAUCUCUAAAGCUUUUAAAAGCUUAAUCCUGUUACAUACACACUUUGCAUUUUAAAGUGCCUUUUUCAUUUUUGCAUCAUGCCCGCUAUCUUUUGUUUCUAGGAGUUAUUUAUUCAAAUAAACAACCCAAAACACUG